ACGUCGUUUCAGGUGGCAUCCUCUUCAUGGUCCAAUGGGAAUCUGGGCAGCCUUGGCUGGACGUCCUUUCAGGUGGCAUCCUCUUCAUGGUCCAAUGGGAAUACGGACACCGCCACCCUGCCGUUUGGAGGAAGUGACUUAGCUGGUGAUGCGUUCAUGUCCAAGGAGUCACGUCUUACUCCAGGGAUCCCCUCCUUCGCUGGGAUACUUCCAUUUCCCAUCUCAAAAGCAGCUCCAUCAAAGAAGAAAAUGGGAGCUAGAUCCAUUCAAAAUGAGACCCAGUGCGGACAUCUGUCUUAUUAUCCAACAGUAGGCUAAAAAAAAUAAACUCUGCUGGCUCUGUGGGAGGGAUGUCAAUAAAUGGCAGCUGGAUACGAAAGUGGACUUCCAGAAGCUUUCAUCCAUGAAUCAGGUAAUGAGCCUCAGUGAGGAGCAUCCCAUCCCAUGCUCUUGCAUUUUCCAGAGCGGUGAGGGAGUUUGUGGCAUUGAGGAGAAGCUGGUAUCCAAGAUUUUCAUUGUGUAUGUGCUCAGACAUGCUGUGAGAACCAGGGGUCAAUGAAAGAGAGAUUUGCCCAUAACCCAAGGAGAUUGAACCUCGAGAAGGUUUCUUUGUCAGUGCACCUUUGUUGCCCUGAGGAUCCCAUCAGGGAUCCCCCCCUCCCCUCUGCCUGUGGGCUCGUGCCCGUUUAUCCUCAAGGCAGGAGGCAGGACAUUCAGUCAUCACCUUGUCUUCUGGAUGGACUCAUCUCCAGCCUUUACCGCUGCUCCAUCUCCUGAUCAUGCUGGCUGGACCACUCGCUGGAUCCUGGUGUUUUCCAUGCCUUUGCCUUGUCUGGGACUGCCAGUGGACCCUGCAGGCAGGUGGUGUGGGAGGGCACGCUGCUGGUGUGGGACCCACUUGCACCAGGGUGCCCCUGGUCCCCCGAUUGUCCCCCUGCGUGGGGCAACGUGCAGAUUGCUGGCAGUCUUCGGUGGCAGGCAAGAGCUGCUCUAACAGGUUAUACUGGACUGAAACAUGGCUUAAUUCCAA